rnacentral:tRNA from 1 species
AGACCCAUCGUCUAGUGGAAGGAUACGGGACUCUGGAUCCUGUGGCAGGCGUUCAAAUCGCCUUGGGUCUG